AUUUAUAAGAAUAUGAUGUUGGUUCAGAUUAAGCGCUAAAUAAGGACAUGACACAUGCGAAUCAUACGUUUAUUAUUGAUAAGAUAAUAAAUAUGUGGUGUAAACGUGAGUAAUUUUAUUAGGAAUUAAUGAACUAUAGAAUAAGCUAAAUACUUAAUAUAUUAUUAAAUAAAAAUAAUUUAUAUAAUAAAAGGAUAUAUAUAUAAUAUAUAUUUAUCUAUAGUCAAGCCAAUAAUGGUUUAGGUAGUAGGUUUAUUAAGAGUUAAACCUAGCCAACGAUCCAUAAUCGAUAAUGAAAGUUAGAACGAUCACGUUGACUCUGAAAUAUAGUCAAUAUCUAUAAGAUACAGCAGUGAGGAAUAUUGGACAAUGAUCGAAAGAUUGAUCCAGUUACUUAUUAGGAUGAUAUAUAAAAAUAUUUUAUUUUAUUUAUAAAUAUUUAAUAUUUAUAAUAAUAAUAAUAAUAAUAAUAUAUAUAUAUAAAUUGAUUAAAAAUAAAAUCCAUAAAUAAUUAAAAUAAUGAUAUUAAUUACCAUAUAUAUUUUAUAUGGAUAUAUAUAUUAAUAAUAAUAUUAAUUUAUUAUUAUUAAUAAUAUAUUUUAAUAGUCCUGACUAAUAUUUGUGCCAGCAGUCGCGGUAACACAAAGAGGGCGAGCGUUAAUCAUAAUGGUUUAAAGGAUCCGUAGAAUGAAUUAUAUAUUAUAAUUUAGAGUUAAUAAAAUUAAUUAAAGAAUUAUAAUAGUAAAGAUGAAAUAAUAAUAAUAAUUAUAAGACUAAUAUAUGUGAAAAUAUUAAUUAAAUAUUAACUGACAUUGAGGGAUUAAAACUAGAGUAGCGAAACGGAUUCGAUACCCGUGUAGUUCUAGUAGUAAACUAUGAAUACAAUUAUUUAUAAUAUAUAUUAUAUAUAAAUAAUAAAUGAAAAUGAAAGUAUUCCACCUGAAGAGUACGUUAGCAAUAAUGAAACUCAAAACAAUAGACGGUUACAGACUUAAGCAGUGGAGCAUGUUAUUUAAUUCGAUAAUCCACGACUAACCUUACCAUAUUUUGAAUAUUAUAAUAAUUAUUAUAAUUAUUAUAUUACAGGCGUUACAUUGUUGUCUUUAGUUCGUGCUGCAAAGUUUUAGAUUAAGUUCAUAAACGAACAAAACUCCAUAUAUAUAAUUUUAAUUAUAUAUAAUUUUAUAUUAUUUAUUAAUAUAAAGAAAGGAAUUAAGACAAAUCAUAAUGAUCCUUAUAAUAUGGGUAAUAGACGUGCUAUAAUAAAAUGAUAAUAAAAUUAUAUAAAAUAUAUUUAAUUAUAUUUAAUUAAUAAUAUAAAACAUUUUAAUUUUUAAUAUAUUUUUUUAUUAUAUAUUAAUAUGAAUUAUAAUCUGAAAUUCGAUUAUAUGAAAAAAGAAUUGCUAGUAAUACGUAAAUUAGUAUGUUACGGUGAAUAUUCUAACUGUUUCGCACUAAUCACUCAUCACGCGUUGAAACAUAUUAUUAUCUUAUUAUUUAUAUAAUAUUUUUUAAUAAAUAUUAAUAAUUAUUAAUUUAUAUUUAUUUAUAUCAGAAAUAAUAUGAAUUAAUGCGAAGUUGAAAUACAGUUACCGUAGGGGAACCUGCGGUGGGCUUAUAAAUAUC
rnacentral:ncRNA from 1 species